ACAAUUAAUAGACACUGCAGUAAAUAAAACUGAAUAAAAACAUCUGUCCUGUCCAGGACCGGAGUGCUCCAUAGCCAAUCAAAGCUACAGUAGGCCUAUAUGCAAAUUAGCAAUUUGCCACAUGGGCCUGCCAUCAUUCACUUUGAACUGGACUGUGUGUUUACAGGCUGUAGCAACAGCGUGACUUUAGAUCAUUAGAACACAUUUGCCAAAAGCCACAAAAUACACCUGAAAGGAUUUCUGCAUUUGGGAACUUCACAGUCCUAUUGAUCAAACAACCAUGAAAAGUCUUGUCUCAUUGCUGCAACUCCCCAACGGGAUCGGGAGAGGCGAAGGUCGAGUCAUGCAUCCUCUGAAGCAUGACCAGGCAAACCUCACUCCUUAAGCGUGCAAAAUAAAAAAACACAAAGCAACAAUCGCCACUACAUUAUUAUAACCUCAUAACCUGUCACAGUGGAGAACAGUUUAAUAAAGAUCUACACAGCAUUAGUUUGACCUCCUCCCCUGUUCUACUCAAACCUCCUGGAGAUUCAGUGAAACUAUCUUGCCAAGUCUCUGGCUAUGCCCUGACAGACUAAGGUACAGGUUGGAUACGACAGCAGCCAGGGAAAACAUUGGAGUGGAUUGGGAUAAUCUGAGGUGGUGGAUCCAUCAACUCUGGAGCCUCUUUUAAGAGCAGAUUCACCAUCUCCAGAGACAGUAGUAAUGUACUG
rnacentral:lncRNA from 1 species